rnacentral:ncRNA from 1 species
UGUCAUCCCAGCACCUCUAUGAUGUCAUCCCAGUGCCCAGACACUGGGAUCCAGAAAACUUAACUUUAAAUAAGUGGCUGCAUAAUAAAGACUAGAUUCCAGCGUCACGCGCUGGAAUGACACCAUUUUCGGUCUCUUAA